GUAGAGAAGUACGGUUGCCUGAAGAAAGUAACAUCACUCUGCAACCGCAAGUCUUUUUAUCCACAAAGGAACACAGGUUUAUGUGACAGUUGGCGAUUCUCAGACUGAUUUCAUCAUUAGAAGUUUUGCUUCUGCUUCCCUCUACAGAAGGUGUGGAAUUAAAACACCAGCCAGACCAAUGACGGUAUGCUGCAGCCUGACUGGAGGGACCGCAGGGACUUUCCAUGCAUUCUAUCCUUCAUUCCACCGGAGUCUGUGCCUUUAUCUAACCAGAUUUCAGUGAAGUGAAGAGUAAGAGGCAUGGAGCUUGAGCCUUGCAACUGAGUCCAUUUCCAGAUUGCAAGGAACACUUGGUGACACAUCCAAUCAUUUACACUAAACAAUAUCUAUAAAAUUGUCAUAUUUAUUGCUGAUAUGAUCCUACAGUAAAUGGCACUGCACGUAACCAUCACUAGUCCCGAUUCUUUCUUUUUUUUGGAAACGCGGUACUGAUUCUUGCCUUUGUCUUCUUGAUUCUUUUUCUUCAUAACAUCCAUUGUAAAAAUUUUGUAUAUGUUGAAUUAUUUUAUUAAACUGUGUAUCCCAUCUCUGUGUUUGUUUGCAAUUAUACACCAAUUAAACUGUAUGUUGAAAGACCCAA